AGAGAGGAGGAGGGGAAGACGAUGGGGUUACACAGUUAGAUAGAUUCUAGCCAUUGAACAAAAGAAGAUUUGUGGGACUCUUUGAAAUGGUGAAGUUGAAGGAGAGCCUGUUCUUUGAACCAUACGGUCCAAAGCUGCCGAUUUGGCCUUGCUGAGUCGAAGAUAAUGGCGUUGCGCAUCUUCCAAAUUUUCCAGGAGGCGAUGACGAAGAUUUCCAUGACGUGUGCAACAUUUCCAAGAGAUCGUGUGGAUGCAAUUCGCUCAUGCACAUCUGCGUCUGUCCAGAUGAUCUGCACUUUGAGCCAGCAUGCUUGUGAAAAAGG
rnacentral:lncRNA from 1 species